UACGAAGGGGGCUAGCGUUGCUCGGAAUCACUGGGCGUAAAGGGUGCGUAGGCGGGUCUUUAAGUCAGGGGUGAAAUCCUGGAGCUCAACUCCAGAACUGCCUUUGAUACUGGGUGUCUUGAGUAUGAGAGAGGUGUGUGGAACUCCGAGUGUAGAGGUGAAAUUCGUAGAUAUUCGGAAGAACACCAGUGGCGAAGGCGACACACUGGCUCAUUACUGACGCUGAGGCUCGAAAGCGUGGGGAGCAAACAGG
rnacentral:rRNA from 1 species